rnacentral:rRNA from 1 species
UGCUUAGCCCUUAACACAGACAACAGGCAUACAAUGCUGUCCGCCAGAGAACUACAAGUGAAAAACUCAAAACUCCAAGGACUUGGCGGUGCUCCAUACCGUCCUAGAGGAGCCUGUCCUGUAAUCGAUACCCCACGUUAUACCCGACCAUUUUUUGCAAUCUCAGCCUAUAUACCGCCGUCGUCAGCCUACCUUAUGAAAGACAAAAAGUAGGCAAAAUAGUUAUUCAACUAGCACGUCAGGUCAAGGUGUAGCACAUAAAAUGGAAGAGAUGGGCUACAUUUUCUAUUUCAGAAAACACGAACUGCACAAUGAAACACGUACAAGAAGGUGGAUUUAGCUGUAAGACAAACAAGAAAGUUUGUCUAAACCUCGCUCUGGAGCGCGCACACACCGCCCGUCACCCUCA